GACGAACGCUGGCGGCGUGCCUAACACAUGCAAGUCGAACGGGGUUACGAGAGCUUGCUCUUGUAACUUAGUGGCGAACGGGUGAGUAACGCGUGAGAAACCUGCCUCUCAGUGGGGGACAACAGUUGGAAACGACUGCUAAUACCGCAUAACACUUUAGUACCGCAUGGUACAGAAGUCAAAGCUUUAUGUGCUGAGAGAUGGUCUCGCGUCUGAUUAGCUAGAUGGCGGGGUAACGGCCCACCAUGGCGACGAUCAGUAGCCGGUCUGAGAGGAUGAACGGCCACAUUGGGACUGAGAUACGGCCCAGACUCCUACGGGAGGCAGCAGUGGGGAAUAUUGGGCCAAUGGGGAAACCCUGACCCAGCAACGCCGCGUGAAGGAAGGAGGCCUUCGGGUUGUAAACUUCUUUUACCAGGGACGAAGAACGUGACGGUACCUGGAGAAAAGACCACGGCAACUACGUG
rnacentral:rRNA from 1 species